UGGCGGACGGGUGAGUAACGCGUGAGAAUCUACCAUCAGGUUGGGGACAACAGUUGGAAACGACUGCUAAUACCGAAUGAACCGAAAGGGAAAAGAUAAAUUGCCUGAUGAUGAGCUCGCGUCUGAUUAGCUAGUUGGUGGGGUAAAGGCUUACCAAGGCGGCGAUCAGUAACUGGUCUGAGAGGAUGGCCAGUCACACUGGGACUGAGACACGGCCCAGACUCCUACGGGAGGCAGCAGUGGGGAAUUUUCCGCAAUGGGCGAAAGCCUGACGGAGCAAUACCGCGUGAGGGAGGAAGGCUCUUGGGUUGUAAACCUCUUUUCUCAGGGAAGAAAAAAAUGACGGUACCUGAGGAAUCAGCAUCGGCUAACUCCGUGCCAGCAGCCGCGGUAAUACGGAGGAUGCAAGCGUUAUCCGGAAUGAUUGGGCGUAAAGCGUCCGCAGGUGGCUACUCAAGUCUGCUGUCAAAGCCUGGGGCUUAACCCUAGAGAGGCAGUGGAAACUGAAUGGCUAGGGUACGGUAGGGGUAGAGGGAAUUCCCGGUGUAGCGGUGAAAUGCGUAGAGAUCGGGAAGAACACCAGUGGCGAAAGCGCUCUGCUAGGCCUGUACUGACACUCAUGGACGAAAGCUAGGGGAGCGAAUGGGAUUAGAUACCCCAGUAGUCCUAGCUGUAAACGAUGGAUACUAGGCGUUGCUUGUAUCGACCCAAGCAGUGCCGUAGCUAACGCGUUAAGUAUCCCGCCUGGGG
rnacentral:rRNA from 1 species